AUCACUUUCCCGGGCUUCCGGGCGCCACCCUCUUCAGGUUUUCCUCCUACCCCUCCAGCCCUGCCCCUCUGGAUCUCCCAUCCUCCCAGCGCGCCAGACUGCAUGCGGCCUCCCCGCCCUGUGUCCAAGAGGCAGCUUCCACUCCACGCGGGCAAGCCUGAGCUCCAGAGCCGUCCUCAAGCCGCCUCCCCCCGAAGCACUGGGACUUCAUCCUCCCGGCUACUACUCGUGCCCAGGGACUAGGCCCUGAGCCUUCCCUUCUCGCACGCCCCAUAGCCAAGCUGCUCAGCAGAACCUGACGGCUCCACCUUCAAACUACGUCCGGAAUCCGACCCCUCUCCACGCCCACUGCCUCCACCCCGGCCACCUUCCUCGGUCACCCUGGCAGCUGCAAUGACCAGGGUGACCUUUCUGAAAAGGGAGGCUCUGUUCGGAGCCCUCGCGGGGCUCCCCAGCACAGCGGCCUCCCAUGCCCACCUGCUCGGGUGGGAUUACUUUCCAACCCCGUUUCCAUCCCCCUCCCUGGUCUCCAGCCGCAGCGACCCCCACGCAGAGCCCGGAAGACCUUGGGCCCCGCACAUGCUGCCGGCCCGCUAAGAGCUCUGGGUACCCCCGGAGCGCCUUCCAGGCUUUCUCCUAGAGGCGCUGUGUCCCGACCGCGCUCCGGACCUGAGCCACGGCUCACCUGGGGCAGCUCGCGCCCCCGAAUACAGUCUCCCACGCCCCGCCCCCCGGGGUGCCUCCCUCCCAGCUCUCUGUACCCACCCACCAUCCCCCACAUCCCUUCCUCCAACCGCUAGCCAGUCACCAGCCCGGGACCGCAGGGCAGAGGCCGGGCCGCGCAUGCGCACCGCGGACCGGUGCCACCUCCGCUCGCGAGCCCGCGGCAGGCCCUGGGCGGUGCGCGCAGUCCCGCGAGAGCAGUGCUUGGUCGGGACCUCGAAGCCGGAGCCCGAGCGGGAGAGGCCGCGGAGACCCCGGCCCGGCGCAGGCAGAGACGCACCUGCGGGAGGCGGGCGCGCCGGCUGGAGAGGAGGCCGUGGGGCGGAGCGGCUCAGCGUUCUGCUCGGCUGCAGCGGCCCCUGCCGGAGACCCGGGCGCCGUGGUCUUCUUUAUAAUUGAAGGAUUGUCUCUCUGUUUUUAUUUGGGGUGGGGGUGGGGGUGGGGGGCGGCGCAGUGACUUGCUUCGACUUUGUCAGCUUCCAGGGUUCAUUCCACUGCCCAAAUAUGUAGUGAGUUACUACCGGCUUUGCUUCCUCCUUCAGCAAACGGCUGGACCACACAACUUCAGGAGAGAGGAUUUUAAAUGUUAGGGUCAUUUUCCCUAAAACGAUUUCAAAUGACGGUGAGUUGGUUCCCAGGCUAGGCCACCUAACCUCGAACGCAAUGACGAGUGCACUCUGACUGCUGAGCUGAGAGCCUUCCGUGGCUCUGGGACCCAGUGACUCACGUGGCUCCGCAUGUCCCCGUUCCCUUAAAAUCGGAGUCUUUCCUUUUCUUGGAUUCCGGCUUGCCACCAGCACCACUUGGCAGAAUGGAAUUGCUUGCGGGCAUGUCAGUGGACUAGAAAGGGAAGUAAGUGGUCUGAGAACUUGGGGGCCAAAAAUGUUACAUUAACAUUUUUUGCCUACCUAAAAUCUCAGCCACUUCCCACAGUUUGGCUGGAAAUUCAGCCCAUGUUGAGGCCCUUCUCAUUCCUGCAGGUGUUACCAGCAACUCAGAGGUUUAUGGAGUAACGAAAUUGGGGAGGGCCUCACAUCCGGCUGCUGUUUUUCCCCCUAACGUGUAUGGUGCUUAUUCUGAGCCAGACACUUUUAAGAACUGCACAUUAUUAACCAUUUUAAAUCGUCCCCACCACCUGAUGAAAUAGGUACUGUUAUCCCCACUUUAUGGGUGGGGAAACCGAGGCCCAGGGAGGUCAAGUAACUGCGCAAAGCACAAAACUGUUGAGUAGUAGUGUUACCAGGGCAGUCCUGGAGAAAUCGCUCAGAGGGCAAAACUGAGAGCUCAUUAUUUUCUUAAACAGUAGACAGCUGAAAAUGCUCAUUGUUUUUUAAACCGUUUUGUUUGUUUGAUUUUUUUUCCUAGUCUCUUUAUCUAUAGGUAACCCAGCUUAAAACAACUGCGGUUGGCCCGGGAUCCUCACUGCCCUUUGCCAAGUACCAGAGAAAGAUAAGGCCUACUAGGAACCAGAGAAAACCAGAACCAGCCACCCCUUGUUACUUUUAGAUCAUUAAUACAUCAUUAUAUGCUCAACUCCCGACCCGUAGAAGAGAAUCGCCGCCAUUUUCUGAUAGUGCAUUGUAUGAAGAGGCAUGUUUAUGAAAUGCACCUGUGCGUCUAGAGUUCCUCCCGGCAUAUGCUUGCAUACCUCCCCACUCCACAUCUAACGCCUUACAAUUCCCCAGCUUCCCAAAGCUCUGGAAGAAGGGGGUCUUUAGAGUGAAAGUUUACUCCUUCUCUAUUCCUGGCCAGGAAUGAAACCCGCUUGCCGUUUUUUCCAGUUGGUGUGCUUUCUUUGCAACUGAUACAGACUAGGAAAAGAACGCAAUUUACCAGUAACAGUAGAGCUGGGAUUUAAAUCUAAGUGCUUUGACUUCAAAGACAAGGUUCCAAGCUGCUACACAUACCAAUUCUCGUUAAAGUGUAUUCCAUUUCUUUUGUGCUUUCAUAUUGACCAUUGUGUGUUAAUCCUUUCAAUUGGAAGAAGAGGGAGACAGUGCCAGUUAUUGCAAACUUUCACAGUCCACAGGCCCGAUAUGUAGCCUUCACCACCCACAGGUUCUGCCACUUCUGGGGCAUUAUAUUCCAUCAAGAUCCAGGCACCCGCCAUCCACAUACCAGCCCUGGAACUCGUCCCUUCUCCCAGACUUGGAAACGCCACCUCUCCCUGACCAAUGUCGAGCCACUUCCUCAUCUUGAUACAUCAGCCACUAUCCUUUCCAUCUUUCAGGCAACUCCAGCUUAAUUUCUCGAUGGCCUUGCCCUUCUAAAAGGCCGUUCUCUUUUCCCAGAUGACUUUUUCCUAUCCCCUCCACAGUAACUCCCCUCAUCCUUCCAGUCUCAAUUCAAUUGUUCCUUGGUGGGGUGGGGCGGGGGGAGCCUUCUUAAACCCUCCUCCCUCACAACUGCAUGAGGUCCCUUGUCUCUAAUAUAAGCUCCUGUAGCACCAUGGCACUUAUCCCAGUUGAGAUUUUAAAUAUAUUUCUGUGUAUUUGAUUAAAGUUUCUCUCCUCCACCAGGCUGUGAAGGUGGCUUCUUGUUUUGUUUUGCUCCCCGUGGUAUUCCCAGCACCUCAGGAUCCCUUAUAGUAGAUGCUGAAUUAGUAAAUACAUAUUAAAUAAAUGAAUGAACAAUCUCACAGGAAAAGCAGCCUCAAACUCAGAGGAUAAUGGCUUGGGCUAUCUUUACUAAAAUUUAAGAGGCGAAUGACCUUUUCUUUCUGCUUAUGAGUCUGUCUGUAGCAGCACAAAAUAAAAAAUAAACAAGCAAGAUAGAGUUCAUUGAUAACUCAUCCUAUUUACAGAGGUUUUCCUGGGACAUGUGGGUAGGUGACAGAAAAGUUUAGAAGCACAUACACUGGAAAAUAAUUUUGCCUAUUUCCUUUGGUGAGAUUCAGACAUGUCAAGCUUUAACUCUGGAAAGAAAAUCUCUCUCCAUCCUGAGUUUUACAUCCUCUUGGGAUCUCUCACUUUAUUGGUUAUCACUGCUGUCUCUCAGGGGUGAACUGUCCUCUUUAAGCUUCUGGUGCAAAUAUAAAUAUGGAAAUAAAUGCCUAGGGAUUUAUUUCCUAGAAUGACCCUACCCUGAGUUGGAGCAUCACACACAGCACCAUGAGUUGUGACGCUAACCUCCAUCAGCUGGUCAGUGCAUCUGCGUGUAACAUGUAGCCAUAGCAUUUUCCCAACCCUGCUACACACAGUAACAGUGCACACAGCACAUCUUAAGAAAUAAAAUUGACAUGAAUAACUGAGAGGUGGCAGACAGGAAAAUGGGGAUUGCAGGUGUUUGCAUGCUCUGCAGUGAGGAAAGCUAGGUUGUCAGGACAAGUCUGCAACAGAAGGCAGUCUCGGGCCACGAGAACAACACACUGUCUUUCGAUGGCUGGAUGGUUGGAUGACGAGCCCAUAUUCUUUUAUUUUCUUUCUUUUUUUUUUUUUUGAGACAGAGUCUUGCUCUGUUGCCAGGCUGGAGUGCAGUGGCGUAAUCUUGGUUCACUGCAACCUCUGCCUCCCGGAUUCAAGCAAUUCUCCUGCCUCAGCCUCCCGAGUAGCUGGGACUACAGGCGCCUGCCACCAUGCCCAACUAAUGUUUUUGUAUUUUUAGUAGAGACGGGGUUUCACCAUGUUGGCCAGCCUGGUUUCGAACUCCUGACCUCAGGUGAUCUGCUUGCCUCGGCCUCUCAAAGUGCUACGAUUACAGGCGUGAGCCACCCCUGACCAACCAAUUAGCCCCUUUUUUUUUUUUUUUUUUUAAACAGAGUCUUGCUCUGUCACCAGGCUGGAGUGCCGUGGUAUAAUCUCGGGUCACUGCAACCUCUACCUCCCAGGUUCAAGCGAUUCUUCUGUCUCAGCCUCCCGAGUAGCUGGGACUACAGGCGCUUGCCACCAUGCCCAGCUAAUGUUUUUGUAUUUUUAGUGGAGACAGGGUUUCACCAUGUCAGCCAGUCUGGUUUCGAACACCUGACCUCAAGUGAUCAGCUUGCCUCGGCCUCUCAAAGUGAUAGGAUUACAGAUGUGAGCCACCACACCCAGCCAAUGAGCCCAUAUUCUUUUACUCUUUUCUUUUCUUUUUUUUUUUUUUUUUUGAGACGGAGUUUCGCUCUUGUUGCCCAGGCUGGAGUGCAAUGGCACGAUCUUGGCUCACUGCAACCUCCACCUCCUGGGUUCAAGCGAUUCUCCUGCCUCAGCCUCCCGAGUAGCUGGGACUACAGUGCCACCACGCCCAGCUAAUUUUUGUAUUUUUAGCAGAGACGGGGUUUCACCACGUUGACCAGGGUGGUCUCGAUCUCUUGACCUCGUGAUCCACCCGCCUCAGCCUCCCAAAGUGCUGGGAUUACAGGCGUGAGCCACCACGCCCGGCUGAAAUUUCUGUUCUUUAUAAGUUACUGUUCUUUAUAAGUUACCCAGUCUGUGGUAUUCUGUGACAGCAGCACAAAUGGACUAAGACAAUACCCCAAUCCAUCUCCAAUGAGGUGUCCAAGUUCUCCACUCUCCCAAUGUUUACCAUUGGAUGGAAAGUUGUCCAUAGUUAUUGGGUGGGGGUAGGAGGGAGUUUAGUGGGGAAGGUCCAUGCUUGAGGACCUCUUUGUCUCUGAUACCUUUCCACCCUGGUCCUUGGUCUCUACAAUAGUUCAAGGAUGAGGAUCAAAGUCCUAGCAGUUUCCAAAUGC
rnacentral:lncRNA from 1 species